CUGCUAGCUUCAGUAGUACAUAUACUAAUAUUGGAAUGACAUACAGAAGAUUAGCAUGGUCCCUGUGUUAAGGAUGACAUCCACUGUUGUGAAGUGUUCCAUAUUUUU